AUGAGGAGGGGGAGUAGGAGGGGGAGUAGGGGGACGAGGAGGGGGGUAGGUGAGGCAGAAGGAGGCGGCGGACGGGGAGUACGUAAAGCAGCCCGGAGUAGAGCACCUCUUUCUUCUCCUGGACCCUCUGAUGCAGUGCUUCCUCGUGCACAGGAGGAGGAAACAGAGGAUGGGGAUGAGGUGAGCGAGGAGGAGGACGAGGAGGAUUUUGUGGAGGAGGUGGUGGAGGAGGAGGAGGUGGUGGAGGACGCCGCCGCCGAGAGGAGGCUGGUUGUUCGUCAGGUUUCUGAGGGUGGGGAUGGACCCUCACGGGUGACAGAGCACCAUGAGGUGAGCGGCUCACAACCGAGCGGUUCGACUAUCAGCACUACUUUAGAGGGAAAGCGUGGUUGCGUGGUCCUUCAAAGCUUCCAAGACGUCCAUAUGUGCAUAGAGACGUGUUGA
rnacentral:rRNA from 1 species